AUAAUUUUUUGGACAAGUGACACAGUAUCCUAGUCGGGAACCCUUUUUUGAAGGCGGGCCUAAAAAUCCGUUAAGGGCACAUCAAUGAAGUUCCUGGUGCUGGCUGCUGACGCCCAGUUGGGGGUCGGUACUGGGAGUUAAGGGGGCGGGGCGACCCGCAAUGGCAUGUGGGCGUUGACCCUGCCCCCGCGGAGACCCGUGUGCGUGGGAGUAUUAGUUAUACGACUAUGGCUCGGGUAUAAACCUGCAUGUGGGGAAAGCUGCGUGCAGUGUAGCCUGCCUUGAGUGGUGCCGGUGGAGGUCCAUUAAGCGGCAUACUGGUGUAAGGGCCCUUACCCUAUAUGCUGCGGGUUUAAACCGUCACUGCAAAAGAGGCUAAAAAAAGGUAAUCCUGUAGAGGAAAACUCCUAGGCUGUACGAUGAGAAAUUGUGACGAUACGGGGAUUAUAGUGUGGACUAAGUGGUAAUUCAGCCACGGACUCGGUGACGAUCCGGGAUUCCGUUUAAAGGGAAACCGCCGGUUUGGCGACAACCGGUAUGGAAUUGGGAAAACCUGCUGGACCUAAGCCACAACAUUUACCCGUAUCGUUGUCACUUGUCAGUAUACAUAC
rnacentral:sRNA from 1 species